UUCGAGGAAUCCUUCAUCAAUGGUUGUGAAUGACUGAUUUUUCUCAAUCUUUUCGAUUUCUAAAAAGAAUUAGGAAGCUUAACCUCCAAAGAAAUUGCAUGGUUGGCUAAGAAACAACAGCCAAGUUAUGUAAAGUGAUAGAGCAACAAUGAGAGGGCUUAUGAAUGUUACUCAAGUGUUCUUUUUAGUAAAAAGCUGAGUCACAGAAUGUGUUGCGGCCUACCAUCUCUGGCUUUGUCCUCUUAAAGGACCCCAGCAAUUUAGAGCCAAUGACAGCCAUAUGUUUGGUGAGCUGGUGAGGGCAUGGUCGGAGGCUGUAGAAUGAGAAUGAGGUGAAUUUGGUGGAUGACCCAUGAAGCUGCGUCCCCCAACAGAGCAAGUGGAGAUAAAAUCUUUAUAUAAACCCUAAAACCCAUAAGAAAGAAACAGAGAGAAGAAAAGAAGUGGAUUUGCAGAGGCCAUUAAGGCAGCAAACUUCAACCACUUCCCCAUUCCUUCUAUGUUUCCCAGUAAACCCACAAACCCCAAAAAUAAAGUUUUAACGUUCGGUAAAAUCAAUGUUCUUUUUAACCUGCCACCUAAAAUGCCUCAAUAAUGUCUUAUUG